UACCAAACCAUGGACCUAUUCAUACCUAAGGUGAUCCUUUCUACCAAAACAUGGACCUAUUCAUACCUAAGGUGAUCCUUUCUAGCAGCUUAUCAUAAAGAGACAUUAAAAGUUUAAUGGUUCCAUAAUCUAUUUCACUUUUAAAACUCUAAAAUGUACAGCAGUAUGUUUUGAAGUAAAAAUGUUUUAAGCUGCUUUUGUAUUGAGCACCAUUGUUUUAAAGCAAUGAGAAAUUCUAAGUAAUUUAGUUACAAAUAUUUGUCAACAUAUAGCUGUAUUAAAGGCUGAAAUCAACAAUUAAAAAAUAAAGACAGAAAGCAUCUGUUUCACAGA